GAUGAACGCUGGCGGCGUGCCUAAUACAUGCAAGUCGAGCGAACAGAUAAGGAGCUUGCUCCUUUGACGUUAGCGGCGGACGGGUGAGUAACACGUGGGUAACCUACCUAUAAGACUGGGAUAACUUCGGGAAACCGGAGCUAAUACCGGAUAACAUUUGGAACCGCAUGGUUCUAAAGUGAAAGAUGGUUUUGCUAUCACUUAUAGAUGGACCCGCGCCGUAUUAGCUAGUUGGUAAGGUAACGGCUUACCAAGGCAACGAUACGUAGCCGACCUGAGAGGGUGAUCGGCCACACUGGAACUGAGACACGGUCCAGACUCCUACGGGAGGCAGCAGUAGGGAAUCUUCCGCAAUGGGCGAAAGCCUGACGGAGCAACGCCGCGUGAGUGAUGAAGGGUUUCGGCUCGUAAAACUCUGUUAUUAGGGAGGAACAAACGUGUAAGUAACUGUGCACGUCUUGACGGUACCUAAUCAGAAAGCCACGGCUAACUACGUG
rnacentral:rRNA from 1 species